CGAAGUCUGGUGCCAGCAGCCGCGGUAAUUCCAGCUCCAAUAGCGUAUAUUAAAGUUGUUGCAGUUAAAAAGCUCGUAGUUGAAGUUCUGAUUGUUCGGGCCUCGCGCUUUAUAGCCGAGGAACCGACAGUCAUCCGCUUGCCAAAUAUAUGUUCGCCUUUUAACCGGGUGGCUAUAUGAGUAAGCAAUUUACCUUGAGAAAAACAGAGUGUUCCAGGCAGGUUUGUCCGGAAUGCAUUAGCAUGGAAUAAUAGAAUAUGACUGAAGUCGAUUUAUUGGUUUAAGGCUUUAGUAAUGAUUAAUAGGAACAGUCGGGGGCAUUGGUACUUGACAGUCAGAGGUGAAAUUCUAGGAUUUGUCAAAGACUAACAAAUGCGAAAGCAUUUGCCAAGGAUGUUUUCAUUAAUCAAGAACGAAAGUUAGGGGGAUCAAAGACGAUCAGAUACCGUCCUAGUCUUAACUAUAAACUAUACCGACUCGGAUUCAGAUGAAUCAAAAAGUUCAUUUGGGACCGUAGGAGAAAUCAAAGUUUUUGGGGUUCUGGGGGG
rnacentral:rRNA from 1 species